CGGAAGGUCAGUCCGCGUCGGGUUAGUCGAUCCUAAGGUGAGGCCGAUAGGCGUAGCUGAUGGAUAACAGGUUAAUAUUCCUGUACUAUGAUAAGUCGUUGAACAUGAGGGGACGUAGAAGGGUAGAUCAGCCAGCCGUUGGUCGUGCUGGUUCCAAGCCUGUAGGUGAUGAGGCGGGGGUUAAAAGACCCGCUGAGCUGAGGGGUGACGGCGAGCCCGAAAUGGUGGAAGUGAUUGAGCCCAUGCUAUCAAGAAAAGCCUCUAGGGAGACUUAUUGUAACCGUACCGCAAACCGACACAGGUAGAUGGGUAGAGAAUACCAAGGGGAACGGGAGAAUCUUCGUUAAGGAAUUAGGCAAACUAGAUCCGUAACUUCGGGAAAAGGAUCGCCUGAGUAGAGUGAGAAUAA
rnacentral:rRNA from 1 species